ensembl:lncRNA
ACCCUAAAGAAGUUGUAAAAGGAAGCAAAAAUCCAAUCAUGUUUGUUCUAUAAUGGUUUGGGAGGGAGGCAGGCAGGCAGCAUUAAGGUGGAAACACUGAAGAAGCCAGAAGACUUCUUUGUGUUAGAAUGACUUUUGUGAAAGCUCUUAAAGCUCUCUGCCUUAAAAAAAAAAAAUCCUUUUAAACAAGAUUUAAUUUUUCUCCCCUAAGUUUCUACUGACAGUACUGGUGUCUAUAAAGCACAAUGUGUAUCAAUUAUUCUGCUUUUCCUAUUUCAUUUCCUAAAUAAUGUAAUAAUCAAGUGACUUUAUUGGAAGCUGACUAAUGUAAAGAGGAGCACCAAGCAGAGGAAAUGAUCAUUUUAUUCCUACUUAACUGAGAGUAAAUCUUAUUGGACUGAUACAGUAUUCUGUAUUGGUGGGCUUCGAGAGGACUCAUAUAAUCUGCAAAGUAUUUGCAAACCUUAUAGAGCUUUGAAAACCGAAACAGUGGGGGACAUAAAAUGUCAUUACUGUGUCACUUGCCCUGACAUAGUACACAAUGAAGGGAUCAUUUAUUCAAAUUAAUGUGCGAGAUAAUUUUUUUUCUUUGCAUUUGAGCAAAAUGUAAGAACUGAGAGUCAUUGUUUUCUUUCUUUAUAUGGAAAGGAAAUACCUUCCCCCUCCCCUGGCUAUACAUGAUUAUUUUAACAAAUCCUGGAGAGAAAUGUGGUAAUGCACAUCAAAAUUUAAAAUGCACAGAGAUAGAUUUCCACGUAUGCAUAUGGAAAUGUGUUCCAAGAUUCUGACUGAAGCAAAAGAUAGGAAGUUAUCGAAAUGUGUUCUGUGGGCAGGAGGUUAAAACAUGAUGAUGUAGCCACACAGUGUAAUAGUAUUUUGUUUUAAAAAAAAAUGCGGGCACACUAUGUCGACUAGUAAGGAAUAGUCCCCCAAAUAUACUCUUAAAUGAUAGCAGAAUAAAUAGGCAUGUCCUAAGUGAUUUUUGCAUAUUAACUUAUUUGAUCCUCACAGCAACCCCCUUAAUUGGGGACCCUUAGAAUUCCCAUAUUAAGGUAGGUUUAACAGAGGCACAGAAAAGUUAGGUAACCUGCUCAAGGUCAUACUGCUAGUAAAUAUUAAUGUUAGAAUUUCAUCCCAGACAGUCUGACUUCAGAAUCUGUGUUAGUAAAUACUGAGCAAUGUUUAGAAAAAUGUAUGUAAUAUGUUUCCAGUAUGUGAUAAAGGAGGUAUAUGCAUAUACAUGCACAUGCACGCACACACACACACAUACACACAGUGUCGUUCUUCAUUAUUUGUAUAUUGGUCUGUUUGGUAAAAUUUACUUUAUAAUCCCCCAAAUCAAUACUCACAGAACUUCCUAGGUUAAACAAAGCAAUGCUCUGACUACUUGUUUCUGCCCUCAUGCUAUAAACAAGUGUCCUUUUUAUGGUCUACUUAAUGCCUGAUAUUUCUCAUUUUUGAUUCCUUUUACUGGCAAUUUUGCUGUUUAAAAUGACCCCAAGCAUAAUGCUGCAGUGCUGUCUAGUAUUCCUGAGCACAGGAAUGUGCUUUAGAGAGAAAAUGUGUGUGUUAGAAAACUCAUUAGGGCAUGAGUGAUAGUGCUGUUGGCUGUAAGUUCGAUAUUAAUGAAUCAUUCUUAACAUGUCUUUAAAUAGGAAUAUACGUAAAACAAGUUAUGUAUUGACUGAUGGAUGACAAUGUUGUGACGAGAGGCUCGCAGGAACCCAACUCCGUAUUUUCCGUAGGAGCAGCAAAUGAUACAGUAGUUGCUAAUUCAUUGUUCACAGAGACACUAUAGAACACGAAUACUGUGAAUAAUAAGAAUCAAUUAUAUACAUGUUUCUGUGCAUAUAUAUGCUUAUUUAUAUAUCGUGCAUAAAAAAAUCUUAAAAAGAUGAUAAAAAGUAUACAAUGGUUGUUUGGGUGAGAAAAUUAAGGUACUGAAGUUUGGAAGUAGAAGACAGACUUACCAUCCUCUUCUAGAAUUUUACCUUGUAUAUUAUCUAUUGAAUUUUACCUUGUAUAUUAUCUAUUUUCAUUCAUGCAGUACAGAGGGAAAAAAAGGUUCCCAAAGUUCCACAUAAUCUCACCUUCCUGCAAAUAGUUUCACAAAUUUUCUAGGCUUUUAGAAUGCAACUCUAAUAUGCCUGGUUAUAUUACACCGUAUCUUACUUUUUUAAACUUUCUCUGCCCAGCUUCUUUAUAGGUCAAAACAUAAAGAGUUACCCGUCACUCCUUUUCCUUCUAUAUUGCAGCACAGACGCAGCUCCAUAUGAAAUACACGUACAUCACAGCUUUGUGUCCAUCUAGACUGCCCUUCCACGACUUGCAUUUCUGCAGGAGUGCAGUAGCCACAUUUUGAAGACACAAUCAUGCCAUGGCUCUAAAAUUUAAAGCACAAGUGUAGAAGAAGGUGUAUCAGAAAAUGAGGAAACUCUCCUGAAAAGUUUUACAAAUUUUUAUGUUUUUACUUCACAACCUGAGUCAGAGAAUUUUGAUUACAAAUAUGGAAGAGAAAAGGAAUUUACUAUGAGUCAGUCGCAUCGUAGGCAAUGAAUAUAUACUUUUUGAUCCUCACACUACUGGAGGUAACAGAGGAAAUAGGUUUCUCCAAAUCAACCUCUUCAUGGCUCUAAAAAGAAGAGAAGGGAGCCCCUUUCCUAUACUCAUCUUCAGCUGAAAGAUGGAUAUUUUUGUCUAAGUGUUAAUAUUUGACCGUUAUAUAUUCAGGGUACUGCGACACUUAUUAUUGCUAUAUUCAAUAUAUACAACAAUAAAUCGCAGCCAGUGCCCUCAAAGAAGCACAGAGCAGAUGUAAUGUGAAUCCCAGUUGACAGUAAUCAGACUGAUGGAAUCACAAAUACACAUCACUCAUUGUAUUAGACACUGAACCACUAAUCUAGUUCAGUACCUAUACCUUUCCCAAUAAAACUACUCUUCACCAGGCUUAAGAUUUUGGUUUUGCUAUUAAAAAACAAACAAAAACAAAAACAAAAAACCCAAAAAUGAAAACAAAAACAACAACGAAAAAAACCCUUAAGAUACUGACACUCUAUCUUAAAUAAAAAUAUGCUGAAAACUUAGAGCUAUUUAAGAUAAUGGUGUCUACAAUUUUAAUAUAAUGCUAAUACUUAAAAAUUGAAAUGUAAUAGAUAAUACUAAAUAGUAAAGAUGAAAGCCAUGCAAAAUGGGAUAGAGUAUAGAAUAAAUUUCCUAUUUGUCUCAGCAAAAAAAAAAAAAAAAAAA